GUGGGGCAGGUACCAUUCAGUGGGGCUUACUCCCUUGGUAGUGUGUUUAGGAUUGCAAACUAGAGAAACACUUAGGAACAGGCAAGGGAAGAAGCAUGGAUCCUAGCACUUGCCUCCCAUUUCUAUAAUGGGUCAGUUACUAUAAUUGCCAUUGUUCACACUAGUGGUAGGACAUCCAGCAGGAAAUAUCAGGCCUGGACAGCAGGACAGAAAGCAAAACUUCUGAGCUGCAAAAAUAAAUGCAGUUUAGGCAGGCGCAUUAAGGACUUCUGCAGUAAAGGAGCUCCCCACCAAUGGAGAGCAGCCAAGCCAAGCAGAGCUGGACAGAGGGACACCACCUCAUCCAUACCAACCUCUAUGAGAUCAGGAGUUUGGACUGCUCUACCCAUCAGAGAGCCAGAAGGAGAAACUAGAGAAGAUGUCAAGGAAGCCUGAAGAGGAGAGAACAAUUCUGAAGGCCAGUGACAGGAAGAAUGAAGUUGAAGACAUGUAAACUGCAGUGACAACUGAUAAAGCUGGUGAAUAAUGAAUACCUUGUUGUGAUGAAAUAGAGCCAUAUGUUUUAACAGCUGA